rnacentral:rRNA from 1 species
UCGGGAAUUUUGGGCAAUGGGCGCAAGCCUGACCCAGCAACGCCGCGUGAAGGAUGAAGUUUCUCGGAAUGUAAACUUCACAAGAAUGGGAAGAAUAAGUUUUGGCUAAUAUCCAAAACGAUGACGGUACCAUUUGUAAGCUCCGGCUAACUCCGUGCCAGCAGCCGCGGUAAUACGGGGGGAGCAAGCGUUGUUCGGAUUUACUGGGCGUAAAGGGCGCGUAGGCGGCGUGACAAGUCACUUGUGAAAUCUCCGGGCUUAACUCGGAGCGGUCAAGUGAUACUGUCGUGCUAGAGUGCGGAAGGGGCUACUGGAAUUCUCGGUGUAGCGGUGAAAUGCGUAGAUAUCGAGAGGAACACCUGCGGCGAAGGCGGGUAGCUGGGCCGACACUGACGCUGAGGCGCGAAAGCUAGGGGAGCGAACGGG